CGGGCCCAGAACACGCCCGGCUCCUUCCCCGCCCCACCUAGCUCGCCUCCUGCCCUUCGCGUCUUCCCUUUCUUCGCUGUCCACCACCUCCUUCUUCCCCUCGCCUCAUUCCAAGCCCCGCCCCAAACAAGCCAAUACAUCUAUCGAGUCAGGGCGCGCCCUAAUAGGCUAGUCAUCUGUGCCUUGCAAGAGAGUAGCGGGCGCCCGGGCCCUGAGAAGGCCGGGGCACGCGGCCAGGUGUGAGCAGCGGGUAAUUACCACCUCCGCUCCGAGAGCGUUUCCUCCGUGCCGGACAUCACGCUAAAGAAGCUUUCCUUGCAUUCUCCCUUAUUCCUCGCAUUCUCCCUUAUUCCUCGCACCAACCUUAAGGUUAUAGGAAACCCAUAUAACCGAUGAUGUAACUGAGUCCUGGGAAGCUUCAGGGACUUGCGCAUGGUCGCGUAACAGCCCUGGCGGAAGAGCUGCCGGGCCAGGCCAAGGCUCGCCCAGCGCCCCUGGAGCGGUGGGAACUCUGUGCACGUCUGGGUUCCUGCCAUAUCAUCGGCACCUCUCAUCCUGCCUGCCUGGCUCGUAGUAAGCGCUCAAUAAAUAUUUGCUAAAUAAAUGAAUGAAUGUUCACUGAA